rnacentral:rRNA from 1 species
UACGUAGGGUGCAAGCGUUGUCCGGAAUUAUUGGGCGUAAAGAGCUCGUAGGCGGUCUGUCGCGUCGGCUGUGAAAACCCGGGGCUCAACCCCGGGCCUGCAGUCGAUACGGGCAGACUAGAGUGCGGUAGGGGAGACUGGAAUUCCUGGUGUAGCGGUGAAAUGCGCAGAUAUCAGGAGGAACACCGAUGGCGAAGGCAGGUCUCUGGGCUGUAACUGACGCUGAGGAGCGAAAGCAUGGGGAGCGAACAGG